CCUACGGGGGGCAGCAGUGGGGAAUAUUGGGCAAUGGGCGCAAGCCUGACCCAGCAACGCCGCGUGAAGGAAGAAGGCUUUCGGGUUGUAAAGUUCUUUUGUCAGGGACGAAGCAAGUGACGGUACCUGACGAAUAAGCCACGGCUAACUACGUGCCAGCAGCCGCGAUAAUACGUAGGUGGCAAGCGUUACCGGGUGUACUGGGUGUAAAGGGGGGGUAGGCGGGAUUGCAAGUCAGAUGGGAAAACCACGGGCUCAACCUGUGGCCUGCAUUUGAAACUGUAGUUCUUGAGUACUGGAGAGGCAGCCGGAAUUCCUAGUGUAGCGGUGAAAUGCGUAGAUAUUAGGAGGAACACCAGUGGCGAAGGCGGUCUGCUGGACAGCAACUGACGCUGAGGCGCGAAAGCGUGGGGAGCAAACAGGAUUAGAUACCCCUGUAGUC
rnacentral:rRNA from 1 species